UAGUACGAGAGGACCGGAGUGGACGAACCUCUGGUGUUCGGGUUGUCAUGCCAAUGGCACUGCCCGGUAGCUAUGUUCGGAAUCGAUAACCGCUGAAAGCAUCUAAGCGGGAAGCGAGCCUCGAGAUGAGCUCUCACUAGCACUUUAAGUGCUCUGAAGGGUUGUUGAAGACGACGACGUUGAUAGGCGGGGUGUGGAAGCGUAGUAAUGCGUUGAGCUAACCCGUACUAAUUGCCCGUGAGACUUAACCAUACAACACCGAAG
rnacentral:rRNA from 1 species